AGUGCUGUCACAGUAUCCAUUAUUGAUAUCAUCUUUUACAGUACUUCUAUUAUUUAUACAAUAAGCUGGUUAUGCAUUUCUUAUUCAGACCCCAAAGGAACGGGUACCUCCUUGGUGCAAAACAAGAUGCUGGGAGGUCCUUCUAUUUUCAGCAUCGCUUUGGUAUCAUGAAAAUCCACUGGACAGGACUCUUGCAGCAGCAUUGCCACAGCUCAGGGAAAUGAUGUGGCUUCAUCAUGAGGAUUGCAACACAAAAUGUAAAUUCAACUAGCACUAAGCUUAUGGAUUUGGGCUGGCAUCUUUGCUACAGCAGAAUUCACCAGUACCUCUGCUCUUACAAGAAUACAACAAAAACACUGAGAACCACUGAGGUGGAGGUGGAGUAGCAUUUAUCUCUAAAAAAAAAAAGUUUUCAAGGGAGUGAGUUUCUCUGUUCCAAAUAACCUGUACUCUUUGGGUGAAACCAAUAUAAUAAUAUUCUCAUGAGACUGCAAAGCCUUUCCGAUUUUGGGACCCCAAAGCAGCACAGUCCUUUUAUAUGUCAAAUACCCACUAUGGCAACUGUGAAACUCAAUGCCACUUUGAUAUACAGCUGCUCUUGCCUUAGGGCUCAAGGCAGGAUAGCUUUACUAUAAAGGUGCCAGAUCCAGAAUCACAACUAACAUCUUGCACUUUCCACACCAGUGGUCCCUCGAGGCUUGAGGAAGAAACUGGGCUGGGAAUAACAAGGUAUCCGAACAGUUGGUGACUCACUAAAAGUCUGUGGUCUGAGAUAUUGACAGUCUGCCAACAAUUUUAUCAUAGUUGUCAGUGAGAGGAAAGAUAAGAACAAAACCACAAAGUGUUGUUGAUUUUUAAAGGUCAGCAUACUUAUGGUUCAAAGUCACUGUGGGAGGAAUCUUCUGGUGUUUCACAGAGAUUUCACUAAAAAAGGGAUAAGCCAAAGAAAUGUGGCUUACCUGCUCUUAAUAUAAAAUACCUAUAAACUAGUGUUCUGCAUACAGGCAAACCUUGUCUAUCAGUGGUCUAAAUUUAACUACAUAUUCUUCUUUGUAUUUCCAAUGUUGAAUUAUCUUGAACUUCUAAACAUUUCUCAUCAAAGGAAUGCCAAAUUUAUGGAAAUAUUUGCUUGUGCAUUUUAUUGUUUCUCAUCCCAAAAGUGGUAUGAGAUAAGCUUGUGCAAUGGGACUACCAGGAAGCAGCCAAUGAACCACAAGUGCUUGUAGUUCAUCAUCUGUAUUGAGGAAGAUGAAAGAGCUCCAGGAGUUAACAGUUAUGUCUGAAAAUCGUGCUUUCCUUUUAUUGUAGUCCUACUCAUCUUUACCAAAUUGACAAAAUUGCAUUCAACUAGUAAAAAAGUGCUGGUAAUUGCUCACAUUAAUGUAUCUAAUAUCCCUGUGGGUUUCAUUUUACA